AUUGAACGCUGGCGGCAGGCCUAACACAUGCAAGUCGAGCGAAGCGGGGACGGGCGAGGAACACGUGGAUAACCCCCUAUAAGACUGGGAAAACAUCCGGAAACCGGAGCUAAACCGGAAACUUAUAGAUGGUUCCGCUCUGCAUGAGCUAGUUGGUAAGGUAACGGCUUACCAAGGCAACGAUGCAUAGCCGGCCUGAGAGGUGGCUCGGCCACACUGGGACUGAUGCACGGUCCCGACUCCUGCGGGAGGCAGCACUAGGGAAUCUUCCGCGAUGGGCGAGAGCCUGACGGAGCCACGCCGCGUGAGUUAUGAAGGUCUUCGGAUCGUAAAACUCUGUUUUUAGGGUAGCGGUACCUAAUCAGAAAGCCGCGGCUAACUACGUGCCAGCAGCCGCGGUAAUUC
rnacentral:rRNA from 1 species